rnacentral:rRNA from 1 species
GACGAACGCUGGCGGCGUGCUUAACACAUGCAAGUCGAACGGAAAGGCCCUGCUUUUGUGGGGUGCCCGAUUGGCGAACGGGUGAGUAACACGUGAGUAACCUGCCCUUGACUUUGGGAUAACUUCAGGAAACUGGGGCUAAUACCGGAUCGGAGCUCCUGCUGCAUGGUGGGGGUUGGAAAGCUUCGGCGGUUGGGGAUGGACUCGCGGCUUAUCGGCUUGUUGGUGGGGUAGUGGCUUACCAAGGCUUUGACGGGUAGCCGGCCUGAGAGGGUGACCGGCCACAUUGGGACUGAGAUACGGCCCAGACUCCUACGGGAGGCAGCAGUGGGGAAUAGUGCACAAUGGGCGGAAGCCUGAUGCAGCAACGCCGCGUGCGGGAUGACGGCCUUCGGGUUGUAAACCGCUUUCGCCUGUGACGAAGCGUGAGUGACGGUAAUGGGUAAAGAAGCACCGGCUAACUACGUG